rnacentral:rRNA from 1 species
GACGAACGCUGGCGGCGUGCUUAACACAUGCAAGUCGAACGAAGAGCGAUGGACGCUUGCUUCUAUCACUCUUAGUGGCGAACGGGUGAGUAACGCGUAAUCAACCUGCCCUUCAGAGGGGGACAACAGUUGGAAACGACUGCUAAUACCGCAUACGAUCUAACCUCGGCAUCGAGGAUAGAUGAAAGGUGGCCUCUACAUGUAAGCUAUCACUGAAGGAGGGGAUUGCGUCUGAUUAGCUAGUUGGAGGGGUAACGGCCCACCAAGGCGAUGAUCAGUAGCCGGUCGGAGAGGAGGAACGGCCACAUUGGGACUGAGACACGGCCCAGACUCCUACGAGAGGCAGCAGUGGGGAAUCUUACGCAAUGGACGAAAGUCUGACGGAGCAACGCCGCGUGAGUGAUGACGGCCUUCGGGUUGUAAAGCUCUGUUAAUCGGGACGAAAGGCCUUCUUGCGAAUAGUGAGAAGGAUUGACGGUACCGGAAGAGAAAGCCACGGCUAACUACGUG